GAUGAACGCUAGCUACAGGCUUAACACAUGCAAGUCGAGGGGCAGCAUGUUGGUUGCUUGCAACCAAUGAUGGCGGCCGGCGCACGGGUGAGUAACGCGUAUCCAACCUGGCCCGCAGUAGGGAACAGCCCGGCGAAAGUCGGAUUAAUGCCCUAUGUCUUCCUUUGCAGGCAUCCAAAGCGGAAGAAAGAUUUAUCGCUGCGGGAUGGGGAUGCGUCUGAUUAGCUUGUCGGCGGGGUAACGGCCCACCGAGGCGACGAUCAGUAGGGGUUCUGAGAGGAAGGUCCCCCACACUGGUACUGAGACACGGACCAGACUCCUACGGGAGGCAGCAGUGAGGAAUAUUGGUCAAUGGGCGAGAGCCUGAACCAGCCAAGUAGCGUGCAGGACGACUGCCCUAUGGGUUGUAAACUGCUUUUAUGCGGGGAUAAACUUCAGCACGUGUGCUGUUUUGCAGGUACCGCAUGAAUAAGGACCGGCUAAUUCCGUGCCAGCCGCCGCCGUAAAAC
rnacentral:rRNA from 1 species